AUGAAAUUUUCAUAUCUAACAUUGUGCAUUAUGCUUACAUUGUUCCUUGCAAAGUCAGAGUUAUCAAUGGGAGGAGUAACAUGUAACGCAUUACAGCUGAGUGCAUGUGCAAAUGCAAUCACUACCUCAAACCCUCCAUCUGCAACUUGUUGCAGCAAAUUGAAGGAACAAAAGCCUUGCCUUUGCCAAUAUUUGAGAGAUCCUAACCUUAAGAAAUUUGUUAACUCUCCUAAUGCCAUUAAGGUUGCUGAUACAUGUGACUCACCAUUCCCAGUUUGCUAG